UCUCAGGGGCCACCAAGACUGAGUAGCUGAUGCCUGUGCAGUGCUUUGGCUUCCUAAAAUGUGGCCUGAGUGCCAAGUGUCUAGAUGAAACCUGUGGACUUUUCUCUAGACCCCGGGUUGGUGUCACUGGACCCACUGUGCUGAUGCUCUCCAGAGCUGGAAAGUCACCUCCUGAGGCUGCUCGGGGCACAUCUCCAGCACCUGCUCUCAGACCCAGCACUGGGGUCGAGCUCAGGCAGAGAUGCCCAUGUGGUGCCACUUAAAAGCCUCUCCAGCUGGCUUCAGGAGCGCUGGGAAGCAUCCAGACUGUGUGGGGCGCUCAGGGCUUGGAAACGGCUCACAAGGGAACAAAGCAAGGCAGCCACCUCUUGGAGAAGCCAGGCAGACUCUCAGCGGGCCUCUCCAUCCCCCCGGGGAGCUCCAUGGCCUGCUGACACCAAAGGGAAGUCUCCAUCUGGCUCCAAGGGCUGGCAGGGAUCAAAAAGCUCCAAGUGCAGGGCUGCUGAGCGGAGGUGAGAGAGCCCGCUGCCUCCGAGGGGUGGUGGGUGGGCGAGGGUAAACCACGCUCAUGAAGCUCUCCAGCUCUGUCCUCCUACCACGGUGGGAGCCCCCAAGCUGGGACCACCGAGGCAGCACUUCUCUGCUGCUUCCCACCACUUCCCAGCCCCAAGUAAUGGCACCAACACCAGCCCCGAAAGAGCCAUUUGUCACAUAUUGGCCAUAUUGGGGCCUUUGUCUCGAUGACUCAACGUCCCCGGCUGGACCGCAGUUCCCUCCGUGACUUUCCCAAUGGGCCAAACACUAAAUAUUUCAGAGUCCAACCUUGAUGGGAUCAGUGAGAGAGGUCGCAAGGCGGUGUCGCUCUACUCUGAUUGCCUGAGUGCACCGGCCCGC